UUGUAUCUUCCACAGCCGCAUUCUUAAAUGCAAAAUCAAGAAAUUUAUCCAAACCAAGCAAGUAUUCAUUUGAGGUCUGUAGCUUUCCAAUCCAUGAUUUAUCCAUUGAUAAGUAAUAAAAAAAAAUUAACAGGGACAGGUUAGAGUAUACCUCCAAAAGAAAUCCCCCUAAUGCAGGAAUACCUUUAAAUUUUGUUGUACUUGCGAUCUACUCCAAGAAUUCCAAAUUGCUCGUUCAAACCAAAUUAAUUCCAGAAAUUGACAGAGGAUAGAAAGAAUCUAUUAGGAAUCCCCACAAAGGACUUCUUGUAUACCAAUAUAGUAAAGGAUGGAACAAGUAGUAGAGAAAGGAGGGAAAACUUCAAACCAAGAAAACCUAAUCAGAAAGAAAAGAUUUAGAUAGUUCUACGGUUGUGCUAUGAGGAAGUUUUUCUUCGUGCCUAAAUCUGCUCAACUGUGG
rnacentral:lncRNA from 1 species